rfam:Cucumis sativus cultivar 9930 chromosome 3, whole genome shotgun sequence.
AAGAAGAAUCCUCUGAAGCUCAGGAGGGAUAGCGCCGUUGAUUGAAGGCGGUUCCGUUUACGGGUUGGCGAUUUCUCUAUCGCGGCGCUAUCCAUCCUGAGUUUCACUGGUUCUUCUU